ensembl:lncRNA
GCCCAGCGCGGAGCUGCUUCCCCCGAGCCCUGUGCCAGGUGAACCUAAUGUCCACAGAAACAAGGAGCUCAUCUCAGCAUAACCAAGAAGGACGAACGUCGUCCACAACAACUGUGGCUGAUGGCAUUCUGGCUAAGAAAGGGAUAGCAAAGAUAUUCAAAGGCAUAGAAAUGGUGCUCGAUGAAUCAACAACUGUGUAUGGUGGCAGUCGGGCUAAGAAAGGCAGAUCAAAGAUAUUCAAAGGAGUAGAAAUGAUAAUUGAAACUAUCAUAUGUGCGGUUGCUAGGAGUGUGAUUGAGAAAAUCCUUGCAAUUGCAUCUGACGAAUCAAGAAAGAGAAAUGAGGAGGAGACCACAAAUGCCGUGGAAUCUAGGACAGAUGAAACCUCUCAGGAGCUCAUAAAAACAAUGAAAGCCUUGCAGGAAUAUCUCAAAGAAUCACAGGAGUCCGGACAGUGUGAGUGUCAGCACAGCAGAGCACAGCUGGAGGGGAACCGAGGACAGAAUGAGGGGGAAAUUUCAAGUGCCACGACGAUUAGAAAUUUCCAGCAGCUCUCACAAAGACUUGAAAGUCUGGAAGAACGUUUACAGCAAAUGGUGGAGUCAUCAUAGCACGGGUUUCAGCUUCUCAGAGCAGACCAGGAGAAGUAACAAGGAGGUUUGUCCUAAAUUAUCCAAGAAUUUCCUUCCCAUAUGCCAGAGGCACUCUUCUCUGUCGGAAUGGAGGGAAUAUUUUCCUGCCUGUCCUGAGAUGUCCUGAUCCCCAGGAGAGCACUGCUUUUAACCUUCAUCCAUGGAGAAAGCUUCCAAGGCUUUGAGAUGAAUUGGAAUCUACGAGUGUGCGAAGUAGAUAGUAGUAUAGUUUAUCACAUGGUGAAAAACUUAAAUUUUGGGGGUUUUAGUAUGGAGGUGGAUUGGAGACAAGAUGGAGAAUUUCAGGCAUUGUCUGAUCUCCUUGUUCUUCAUCUACUCCAUUUUCUGCAGUGUUGGGAGCACAGGGUGAUUGAUUAGAAAGAACCGCAAUGCAGGUGUUGUGUGGACAGAAAAAUAAAUAGUUAUUGGUAGAAAGGAAGAAAUAAAGUGUGUUCUAAGAAUUAAUUGGAUGAAAUAGCUUUAAAAAACCUUGAACCUGUGUGUCUUGUGACUUUUGGCGCCUUCUCUUUGUACGCUAAGUCUGAGAUGUAGACGGCGUGCAGAAUUUCUGAUAAGAGAAAAAUAAACAAUAACCUGCAGAAUUAAAAACCAAGAGUCCCGUCCAUCUCUCAUUCCUGGCACAGAACUUUUUAGGGGUCUCCCCAUCGGGGGGACCCACAGACUGGUGUCUGCAUGGAAAUGUUUGGGCUCAACAAGAAGAAACUGUGCCAGGAGUCCUUGACAAAAGCCAGACAAAUUCCUCCGGAGGUGAACAUCUCGGUGGGUUGGACAUUCGGAGAAGCUGCUGGAAGGGGCCGAUUCCCGUGAGCUGCUGGUCGGAGCAGGGGCUACACCCGAGAGCAGCAGAGCCAUUAGGGUCGGGAAAGCUGUCAAGGAAUCAGAAUGGGGGUUCCCUAUCAAAAACUGAGUCAAUGUCGUUAAUAAUCCAGAGAUAUCGAUGAGGCAGCAUCCAAUUCGGGUCCCUGUCGGAACUCAAAAUGUCCCUCAGACAUUUUCAGAGGUUCCAGGCCUUGGUCAGAAGCAUUUUAGACCCUGGCAAGCAGCUGAAAACAGCUGUGAUUUUGAGUUUGAACCAUGGAAUGAAUUACCAACUUUGAGGGUGGAACAAGCAGUCACAGAGGGUUAGAUGGUAUAGUAAAAGUAGUCACAAAUUAGAGGGUAAAAUUUUUAGUAUUGUACAGGGGGGUUUUAACACCUGUACAGGGGGUUUUUACUUUGUACAGGGGGGUCAGGAGUUCUAAGAUGGAGGAAAGUGGACCUGAACCUGUUCUUCCUCCUUCUUCUUCCUUACCUCCAUGUUCUUGGUGGUGUUGGCAUUUUUCUAUUAGUUUAGGCUGGGGACACACUGUCCAACGUAGAUGAUAGAUAUUGGCACAUUAUUGUAAAUAUAGUACACGUAAUUUCUGGUAUUUAAUGUUUGUAACAUCCCACUGAGGGCAGAGCCCCACACGCUGCCCUGCAGGACAGAGCUGUGGCAGGGCAGCAGAACAUGUUAGAGAUA